rnacentral:rRNA from 1 species
AACGAACGCUGGCGGCAUGCCUAACACAUGCAAGUCGAACGAGACCUCCGGGUCUUGUGGCGCACGGGUGCGUAACGCGUGGGAACCUGCCCAUAGGGUCGGAAUAACUCCCCGAAAGGGGUGCUAAUACCGGAUAAUUUCUUCUGACCAAAGAUUUAUCGCCUUUGGAUGGGCCCGCGUGGGAUUAGCUUGUUGGUAGGGUAAAAGACUACCAAGGCGACGAUCCAUAGCUGGGCGGAGAGGAUGCUCAGCCACGCUGGGACUGAGACACGGCCCAGACUCCUACGGGAGGCAGCAGUGGGGAAUAUUGGACAGUCGGCGAAAGCCUGAUGCAGCAAUGCCGCGUGAGUGAUGAAGGCCUUAGGGAUGUAAAGCUCUUUUACCCGGGAUGAUAAUGACAGUACCGGGAGAAUAAGCGCCGGCUAACUCCGUG